UGCUCUUCGGUCAAUGCAUUCUGCUCAAAAUCAAAGCUGAAGGGGGUCAAGCAGACUGGCUCAUCGCUGAUGUCAUGAAGUGAUGUUAGGUAGGGAUGAGCGAGUGCAUCUUCAACUAUAACAACGUAAAAUCAAGGAAUAUCAAGUUAGGAACUAGAUCAAGUAAGAAUCUGAAGUUUGACAAAUUCAUAAUUUCACACAAUGAAGAAGAAAUCAUUAUGCAGUACAAAUAAAGAGCGAGAGAGUAUGAGUUGUAUCAUCAUAAUUAGGGGUGUAAAUAAGUCACAUUACUCUAAACUACCGAAGCUCAACUUGGCAUAUAUUCUGAUUUGACAAGGCUUCUUUCAUGGGAGGGGGAGCCAAGUGGGAGCCAUAGCCUCCCCAACCUUUCUAAAAUUUUCUUGUAUAUGUAUACUGAGGAAAAAAUUUAGUUUGUUUUAGUUAAUGGCUCCCAAAAAAUAAUUUAUAUUGUUUUAACAUUAUAUAGGUAAUGUGAAAUAGAAGAACUAUUAAUUUCUCAUCAUAUAUGCAAUAAAUUUUUAUAGCAUUAGCACCUUCGAAAAAAAAUUUUCUAGCUUAAUUACACUCUAUUAUAGUAUUUUUUAAUAUAUAAUAUUGACUCCUUCAAAAUAUAUAAACCAUGAGUAUAGUUAACCAAUUUUCAAAUUAUAUAUAUAUAUAUAUACCUAAAAAAAUAAAUUCUGCCUCUGCCCCUAG
rnacentral:misc_RNA from 1 species